UGGACAGGCAUGUUACGAUAAGACUCUGCUAACGUGGCUUUUGCUGCAAAGUGGGAAAUGGUUCUGGGAACUUACAGCUUUAAUAAGAUCAAACAAUGCAUCAAAUGGAGGUCUGAGUUGGAGAUCUGGGCUUCGACCUGCAGAAAUAAGAAUUGAGGCCUGUUGGGUGCUUCGCUGCUGGCAGUGCUCUCUCACGUGCCCUUUCCAGCUGGCUCUCACCUGAUUCUCAGACACCUCUGAGAGCUAGGUGGUGUUCUCGUGUACAUGUUAGAGAUGAGGAAACCCAAUCUCUGACAGCUGUCUAUCCACCUGUUUGGAAGGGGCUGAACUGUGUUCCCCCCAAGCUCAUCUGUUGAAGCUUUAACCCCCAGUACUUCAAAGCAUGUCUUUAUUCAGAGAUAGUCUUUCAAGAGAUAAUUAAGAUGCAGUGAAGUCAUUAGCGUGGGCCCUAAUCCGAUCUGACUGGUGUCCUAACAGGAAGAGGAGAUUAGAACACAGACAUGACCAUGUAAGGACACAGGGAGAAGGCGGCCGUCUGUAAGCCAAGGAGGGAGGCUCAGAAGGAACGAACCCUGCUCACACCUGGAUCCCAGACUUCUAGCUUCCAGGACGGAGAAAAUAAAUGUUGUUGAAGCCGCCUACCCUAUGGUACUUUAUUAUGGAAGCCCUAGCACACUAAUACAUUAAGUCUGUUUCUGGAUGCUGGCAGUCAUUCAGAAACAUUUGCUGAGCACCUCGUACCUGCUGAAUGAACCCACGUGAAGGGGAGCCAGGAGUGCGGAUCAUUAAAAAGCCUGUACUUUCUCAGUCCCCAUUUGACACCACAGAGAGAAAAUGCAUGCUCCUGAUUUGGGUAGAUCUAGAAUGUUCUUAUGAAUAUGGUAGGUGGAGCAAGGGAUCCAGGUUCUUAUGAUACAUGAUAAGAAAGGCCCUAGCUUGGUCAGACACAAAUAAAAGCCAAGCUUUUCAUCUAAACUCCCUUGCACCAUCACCCCCUUACCAACCAGUACAGAGAGCUUAACAUCUCUAUACCAGAUAGUGAAUGUUUCUAAUAAGAAUGGCAAAUUCUUAUUGUGAGAGAGAUAAGGGCAUUCAAGUGUUAAUUCAAGAGAAAUAUGUAUAUGGUUCUUUAAAUGAUUUAUUUACUAACAGCAUUAAGUAUGGUGUAAAGGAAUUUACAUACCCUAAUUCUCGUCUAUAUAUUUUUUUGGAUUUUAAAAUGACAACUUGUCUAAGUUCGCAUUAGUAUUAAGCCCUAACAUGAGACAGUAUUUAUAGCAUAAGAUUUUUGCCACCUAUUUUUAAUUGUAGCGCUGUUUUAUCAAUAAGAUCAAUUAAAGAGUUGAACAUUUGAAAAGAAGAAACAUGAAAAUGAAUUUCUAACUGUACGGUAUUGAAUACAUGAAAGUUCUCUUAAACUUAGUCCAGAGUCUCAAUAAACAUGUCUUUGCCCGGCACAGUGACUCACUGGCGUCCCUUUCAGGACUUUCUCCCGCCUGAUAACAUCUAAAUGACUCAUGCCUACACCACCUGGAGAGCUCAGGGAAGGCACGGUUUGUUCAGGCCACCCUCACUCCAAGGGCCAGCCCUUUUUUGGAAUAGAAACUAAAAGUUGGUAGCUUCCAUUUGUAGUUCCAUCUAACAGAAGAGCCGACCCACUCACAUUAGCUGGCUCACGACUAAGGCAACCAAUGCCUCCCAGAACAUAGACUCAACUGGCAACCCCGGCACUGAAGGUCAAGGUGAGUCAAAGACACUCAUGCAGAAGGGUGGAUGCUCUUCCAAGUGUGACUGGCUGGCCUGCACGGCUCACUGCCUCCCCUCCUCCCGUCAAGAUGCAGCUUCAGUUUAAACCACCUUCGUUCCAUUCAUCAAAGAGGAAUAUUUACUGUUAUUGUAAUGACUCUUCUCACAGUACACAAGGCUACACCUGAAACACACAGGCCUUUCAGAAAGCACAAAGGAGCAUUGUGCAAGCCCCUGCCCAGUGAGAUGGAUGGGGGCGUAGACACGCCAGUUAACAGCCGGGCUUUGCAGGCCAGCAAGACUUAUCUGUGGCCGCACCAUGGCCACUGAGCUUGUACCUUUCUUCUUUUAAAAAUUGCUCCUUCAUUAUAAGCAGAGUUAAAUACCUGCACAUGUGAUUUGUGUUGAAAUAAUAAAGCAACAAACACACAUCAAGCUGAGGAGAGAAUCUUGGCUAAGGUAGGAAGUCGUGGGUCUGGUCUCAGUCUGUGCUGCUGACCAACUGUAAGAACUCAGAACUCACUGUCCACUCAGGACCACAGUGUCUCAUCUGAAAGGACGAGGAGACUGGAACACACCAGAGCCAUGGUUCUCAAUGUGUGGUCCAGAGGCCCUCGGGGGUCCCUGAGCCUCUUUCUGGGGAUCUGUGAGGUCAAAACUACUUUCACAAGUAUGGUUUGCCUUUUUCACUCUCACUCUCUCAUGCUUGAACAAUGGAAUCUUCUAAAGGCUUCCUGACACGUGAUGCUACAAUGGAUGGAAUCCAGAGGUGGAUAGGAGAAGCCAGCUGCCUUCUAUUAAACCAGAAAUGAAGAACAUUUGCAGAAAUGUACAACAAUGCCAUGCUUCCCAUUAAUUAUUUUGUUCUUGCUUUAGAAUAUGUCACUUUUCAUUGAAAAAUGUUACUCAUGAUUUUAUGUAAAAGGUUUAUUGUUGUUACUUUUAAAUACAUAUUUUAAGUGUUUUUUAGUUUUGAUUUCUAAUAUGGCAAAAAUUGGUAAAAUCACAUACACAAGGGCUUUUGGGGAUCCUCAAAACUUUUUAAGAGUGUAAAGGGAUCCAGAGACCAAAAGUUUGAUAACCACUAACCAAAAACUUUGACAACCAUCAUCUUGAAGGGUCCUUGGACUUUCUGGAAUUUGGAUCUCCCUUGCCUUGUUCAGUUUUCUCUCUUUUUAGCCAUCUCGUACUUACUGCCAUUUCAGUUCCUAUGUACCUGACUUAUUAAUUAUGCUUAUUGUUUACCAUGUGUGUUCCCCUCCCAUAUAAACUCCAUGAGGACUGAGAUAUUUGUCCAUGAUGUUCAUCAGUGCAUCCCAGGCUGCCUAGAACUGGGCCUGGCCCUUAGCAGGCACUUGUUUUUGGAUGGGAGGGAGGAGAAGGGAGGGGAGAGGGCAAGUUCUUUCAGUGUCUGUAUAAUGGACAGAGCAAGGUGUACCACCUCGGUGUGAUAGAAGAGAUGGAGACAGGAGAAAGGAAGCUCUGCACAGGAUCACGUGGUAGGUGGCAAAGUCAGGGCUCCAUCACAGCUUCUGUUGUCACAUGACUCUGUUAUCUGACCCUUUAAGGCAGCCCCUUCUGCUCCAACAGAGCUUCAGGGUAACUGAGUGCCCCGCAAUUGGUGUUAGC
rnacentral:lncRNA from 10 species